ensembl:lncRNA
UGUUAACCCUCCUGUUAUGUUGAGGGUCAAUUUGACCCAUUUCUGCUUUUGAGUUGUCUAAAAUACCAGUUUACCUCUGUUUUUCGCCAUGAAAUGAAAUGACUUUUCCUAAUUUAGGGUCAUAAACCUAACUUCAAAAUGUGGACACACUGAUGUGUUGUGGAAUGUCUGUAGAUUUUUUUAUUCAAACAUGAGUUGGUGCGUCAUUUUGACCAAGGAAGCUUUCAUCUGUAUAGAUAUUUGCACAGGUCCAAAAUAAACAAGUGUCUUUGAUGUGUUUUGUUUUGACUGGUUCUGGUUGCACUUUUAUAAUUCUGUUUGGGUGAAAAUGAGCUUUCCCCAAGCUUCUCCUUCUCAGUGCCAGAGCAGCAGAUCUCUGACACAGACUCGGCAAAAAUGAGCUCCACAUUUUUUUUUUCAGUCAACGAAGCCUCGUCACAAAUUCUGGACUGUGACAGUGAAAUAGAAGAAGAGGUUUCAGAGACAGAAGACAUUUCAGAGAUAGAGGACAAUGCUGAUGAUGAUCCAGAUAAUGCGUUUUUUUCUUUGGUGAAGAGGAUUCAGAGGAGGGGUCUGGUAUACCAUCCCCUCCAUCAGAUGAGAGGACAUGAAAGUCUAAAGAAGAGCUUUGUCAAAACGGACCACGUGCACGGACCAUGUACAGUAUGGACGGUGGGAGCUGUAUGGACGGUCAGACGCAUUUGUCGUCAUUUGGCGCCGACAUGUGGACAAAUGUACAACUGUCUUUACAGCAGUGGUGGAAAAAGUACUAAAUUGUCAUACUUGAGUAAAAGUAGAAAUACCUUCAUAUAAAAUGACUGAAGAAAAAGUCAAAGUCACCCAGUAAAAUACUACUUGAGUAAAAGUCUAAAAGUACUUGGUUUUAAAAAUACUUAAGUAUCAAAAGUAAAAGCAGAUAUAAUUUAAAAUUCCUUAUAUUAAGCAAACCAGACAGCACAAUUGUUUUAUUGACAAAUAGCCAGGGGCACACUCCAACACUCCAACAUAAUUCACAAACAAAGCAUUUUGUCUUUAGUGAGUCUGCCAGAUCAGGUGUACUGUAUCUCCACCAGAAUUCCCACCAGCUUGGUACAAGGUCAUCAAGUUUCUCAUUAGCAGCUUUGAGAAAUUCCUUGUAUAUAAUGCUCACCCACCCGGUGGCUUUGGCUUUGUUUGACCAACCUUGCCAGGCAGGCUCAGACUCUUGAGGGGGCAGUGUUGCUUUAGUGGGUCUCUGACCGCGUUUAUCUAUCUGUCUUGGCCACGUAUAGGCUACUUGCAGUAGGCCUAUAAAACAGAUAAGGACUUCUCCUUAGUGUGUGGGUUGCUCAGGUGGGUGUCUAGGGUAUAGGGUUGGGGACCGUUCCAUCAUGAUAGGACAAUAAAUAAAUAGCCUAUUUGUCAUUUAUUUUCAAAUGUAUAUCGCAUAUCUGCACAAAAUAGAAAACUCUGUCACAACUCCUGCUCACAGACACACAUGGGCUCUGGCAUUUGCAACCAUUUCCAUUUUUCCCCACACUUUUCCAAUCACAAAAACACACACCCCAUAUUCAAUCACAACCACACUCCUCCCAUAUAUACACCUGCACAUACCCACAUACUGGCUCUCUAUGUCCUCUGUUUAUUGUGUUUAUAUACCCUACCAUGUUGAUUCCCACCUCAUUUCAGGCUUUUUGACAACUUUUUGUAUUCCAGUACCUUUAUAUUUGAAAA